AUGAGGCCUGAGUGUCCCCUGCCUCCUCUGCUUCGGCUAGGAGGGUUCCCCUCGGAUCUUUUCUGUACGGUGCAAGUAAUAAACCCGAUCUGGGCCCUCAUGCUCUCUGCUAUGGCCAUAGCGGUUGGGGAAGAAGCUGCCGAGUUGUGUAGAUGGUGUGCCAUGGCGGUCAAAGAAGAAGCUGCUGGAGUUUUUUUUUCUUUUUUUUUUGCGACUGAGAAGCUGCUGGAGUUGGGGAGAUGGUUUGGAGAAGGAUUCUCUGUUGACAUGGAUUCUACGGCAAUGGUGGUCGGAGAAGAAGCAGCCAGAGUUGGGGAGAUACUAUAUAUAGAGACUGGUCCUUUGCUUGCCUUAGAAUCUUCAGAGCAUUGUGGUGAUGGGUAA
rnacentral:rRNA from 1 species